rnacentral:rRNA from 1 species
UACGUAGGGGGCAAGCGUUAUCCGGAUUUACUGGGUGUAAAGGGAGCGCAGACGGAACUGCAAGUCUGAUGUGAAAGCCCGGGGCUCAACCGCGGGACUGCAUUGGAAACUGUAGAUCUGGAGUGCCGGAGGGGCAAGCGGAAUUCCCGGUGUAGCGGUGAAAUGCGUAGAUAUCAGGAGGAACACCGGUGGCGAAGGCGGCUUUCUGGCACAAUACUGACGCUCAUGUGCGAAAGCUAGGGUAGCGAACGGGAUUAGAUACCCCCGUAGU